UUCGAUAUCAUUUACCUAGUGAUCGAAGGGGCUCAAAAUCAAUAAUUUUUAACGGCCGAAAAGGUGAGCCGUUUGCAAGUUUAACGGUGUAGAAAUAUCCAAAUCACAUGAAAUUUAGAUAGAAAAUUCUUUAUACCGUAUAAAACAAGAUCAAUAACUUUGAUCUAAAAUUUUAAUGUCGUAUCAUCAUAUUUUGUAUGAUUUUUAUUUUCAACCGUUGAUUUUGAGCCACUUCGAUUAUUAGGCAAAUGAUAUCGAAAAUCACAAAAUUUAUUUUGUAGAUACUUCAAAUACUCUAGAUCAAGUCUAACGGAGCCGAUUGUCGAUUCGAAAGUCCGAACAUCGAAAACAACUUGGAAGCGCGGAGCGCUCCGUGUUUCCAGAAGCAUACCAGACACACUAUAUAUAUAUAAUAUUUUAUAUUAUUUAAUAAUAUUAUAUAUAUAUUUUAUAUACUAUGCAUAUGAGACUAGCCUACCUAUACAUCGGGUAGCACGGAGGUGCCCCUGCUACAAGUUGUUUUCGAUGAACACUGCGGCUGUCCAAACCGACGAUCGCCCCCACCUCCGUUAGACUUGAUCUUACACUAUACAAGUAUUUAGUCAAACUAAAUUUCAUAAUUUUUCGAUAUAUUACCAUAUCAACAUAGUUAUCAAAUUGAAACGGCUGAAAUAAAAUCUCAUAAAACAUGAGUGAUACGAAAGAUAUUAAAUUCAAGAUCAGCAUAUACUGAAUCUUACUCUAAAUAGUGGAAAAAAGAUUUCUAUAAGAAUUAUUCAAGUCGAUUUAGAUUGUUUUACAGUGUUCCGUUAAACUCAUCAAACACGGCCACAUCGGCCAUUGUAAAUUGGUCAAAUCUUCGAGAUCUUUAGAUCAACCAGUCAAAUGAUGUCUGAAAGAGACUAAGAAUUUAGUUUCAUAAUACUAUUCAAUGUAGUGUAGAUUCAACGUCUAACGGAGCCGAUGUAACGAUUUGAAGCCGCAUCAUUGAAAACACAACUUGUACCACGGUUGACGAACCCUCCGUGCUACCUGAUAGAUAGUAGCCCGGAUUUUUUUUCUAUAUAGUAUAUAUAUAUAUAUAUAUAUAUAUAUAUAUAUAAUAGACGGCUCGGGCUUCCACUCCCUUAUACCAUAAAUUUUUUAAGCGCGUUGAUCUGAUUGGAUGUGUUGUUAGGGAUGAUGGUAGUCGGCCACUUAGAGAUAGUGGUCCCAUAGGGUUGAGUGGAGUAGCUGGUUGAAUAGUAUGAUCUAACGGGUGAAAUGCAUCCAAUGAAUAAAUUAAGGCCAGAAAACUUAUGAGAUAAAGGGAGCAAUUCCUCAUAAUAGUAUAAGUAGCCGAAUAUAUUAUAUAUAUACUAUAUAUAUAUAUUAUAUAGUUAUAUAUAUAUAUAUGUAUACUGUAGAGAGAGAGAGAGAGAAGAGAGAGAGAGAGCAAAGCUAGAAUACUCUACGAUAGUAACGCGGCUCGUUGCACCCAAUCUAUAUUUUCGAUGAUGAGUCUUCCAAAUGGACAAUACGGCAUACCGUUGACUCAUGUCUAGUACCACUUGAAGUAUCUAGAAAUCAAAUUUCAUACUUUUUCGAUCAUUGUUCUCAUUGUCCCAUGCAGUGACACAAAAAUGAACAGCUAAAAAUGAAUAUUCCUUUAAAAAGUGAUGACUUAGGAAUCUUGAUAAUCAAGAUCGAGAGAUAGAUCUUGUUAUACGAAUAGUUUAAAGAUUUCUAACAAAACUAAUUUAAUUGAUUUUGGAUAUUUUACGCCAUUAAACGAGAAACACGACUCAUAUCGACCAUUAAAAUUCAAAAUUUUGAACGCCUUUGAUCAUUGGCAAUUAUGUCGAAAAAUUUAAAUUUAAUUUCUAAACACUCUGAAAGUGGUAUAGAUCAUGUUCAACAUGAUCGUCGAUGUUGGAGCUUCCAUCAUCGAAAACCAAAUGGGUGGCAACGGAAACGCCGUUUGCUAUCCGAUAGUAUUCUACUCCACUCUAUUAUAUAUAUAUAUAUAUAUACUUAUAAUAAUAUAUAUAUAUAUAUAUAUAUAUAUAAUAUACUAUAUUAUAUAUAUAUAUAUAUUCUCAACUAAGCAAGUGUUUUUUUUUUUUUGAUUAAACAGGGAUAUACCCUAUUUGAGGGUCGAGAACAGUUACUGAUAAGAGGUUACACACCCCCAGGCCUCCAAACCCCUACACUUCCAAGCGGAAGCGUGAACCGACAGAAGAGAUUAAUCGAAACCCUUACAAAUUAAAUUCGACCUGGAUCAAUAUGAAACAUUACAGAUUAGAUUCGACCCAGAUCUUGAAAGGUCGAGAGAGUGGCGAAGGCAAAGUUAGCUAGCUAGCGUGUACUCUGCAAUGUUAGCUUGCUAGCACGUACUCCCAAUGGGCAGUAGUCGCACAAAUUCUUGUUCCCAGUUUUUCGCAGUCUUCCAAUCGAUGAUAAAAAAUUCUCCUAUUCCUUUCCUUCCACAGCUCCCAACACGCUGCAGCGAAGCCAAGGUUGAAAUGUUUUUUGUUUGCCCCUAUCAGUAUCCUUCUCGACCGACACCGUGUGUCAGCUAUCCCUUGUGAAGGUUCCAUUAUAUGUAGUAAUGUGGCCGGGUGCCAUUUAGUAAUUGCUUCCACACUGACUUGGCGAAGGUGCAAAGUAGCAGCAAAUGCUCAACGGUUUCAGCAUAUGAGUAGCAAAGAAUGCAAAUUGAGGGACCGGUCCAUCCUCGCUUUGUCAAACAUCCGCCGUCAGUAUCUUGUUCUUCAUCGCGAGCCAUAAGAAUAGUUUAACUGUAAGAGGUGUUUUGAGGUACCACAGAAAUUUUAUUGGACAAUUGUUGAUACCAUCAUAAACUAGAAAUUUAUACACAGAUCUUGCUGUAAAUAGGCCCGAACUGGUCCAACACCAUGUUAAUGAGUCAGCGAUUGAAUCCAAGAGAUUAACACUUCUUACCAGGGUUGAGAGUUGCUGAAGCUCGGCGCAAACGACUAGACGCAUGGGAGCUUGAAAGCCGCAAUUUAGUUGCUCCCUGUAGCGUUGUAUCCACUUACCGACGGAAAGCUGCAUGCAGGUCGAAGCAGCGUUCAGGUUGGGGAAUCGGUAUCGUAGGGCGGUGUCCCCACACCAUCCAGCAGACCAAAAGGGUAUUAAAUUUCCAUCUCCGAGAUGGAAAUCGAUUGAUGUGAGGAACGAAUCAGCCAGUCUGAGCAUUCCUUUCCAAACAGGGCAGUUGACAGAUGGAAUGCAAGAUGGAUCCUCAGGUUUGCGUUUGUAGUGUUUUUGCAUCAGCAGCUUGACCCACGGUAGCUUGUGGGAAUUAUAGAAGUUCCAGAGGCCUUUCAAUAGUUGAGUUGCAUUCGUGGCUCAGAGAUCUCUAUUCCCGAUUCCUCCGACCUUCUUCGGUCUACAUAAAUGUUCCCAUUUAGCGAGGCAAUGGAAACUAUUUGCUAGUUUCGUACCCUUCCAAAAGAAUCCCCGGCGGAUUUUAUCAAUUGCUUUAAUCACCCAGACAGGCAAGAGGAAAGUAGAGGAGAAAUAAGUAGGAAUAGUAGAGAGUACGGAAUUGAGGAGAACUAAACGACCACCUUUGGACAGAGUAGCUCCCUUCCACCCAACUAGGCGAGCAUCAAUCUUCUCAAUGAUUGGUAGAUAGUAGUAGGCUUUCAGGAGUCGCUUAGGAGAAAGAGGUAGGCCCAGAUAAGAAAACGAAAAGCCUUGAGUCGAGCAACCAAAGAAGGUGGAUAAAUCUGUAGGUUGAGCCUCGGUCAGAUGUAUGGGAAUGAUGGCACUUUUGCUGUAAUUAAUCCUGAGCCCCGAGCUUUCAAAGAAGGCAUCUAAGAUUAACUUUAUAACAGCUGCCGAUUUCCUAGAGCCAUUGAAAAAUAGAAGAAUGUCGUCAGCGAAUUGUAGGGUGUGAAUGCGUACCUCGCCAAUUCCUAAAGUAGGUAAGUGGCCAGAGGACGAUGCAGGUUGUAGCAUACGGAAAAGGACAUCGAUACAAAAAUUAAAAAGGAGGGGGGGAGGGGGUCUCCCUGAUGCAAUCCCCUUUUGCAGGCAAAUGCAGAGCCCGGCACUCCGUUCAGAAGAACAGCUGAAGAGAUGGAGACCAGCAGACCAAUCAUCCAGUCAAUCUAUUUUGUGCCGAAGCCACGGAUGGUUAAAAGCUGUAAUAAGAAUUUCCAGUUAAUAUGAUCAAAAGCACACUCAAAGUCAAUCUUAAGCAGGGCUGCUUUAUGCUUAGUCGAGUGUAGAUGGUGGAUAAGAACAUGCGCUUUGUAGAAGUUGUCUAGAAUGUUGCACCCUUUGAUGAAAGCCGUCUAAAAAGGGUUGACCAGCUCUACCAUGAACAGUUGUAAACGCGAAGCAAGCACUUUGGAGAUAAUCUUGGCGACCCCGUGAAUGAGACUGAUCGGCCAAAGAUCUCUCGCCAUUGCUACCAGCGAUUUUUUGGGGAUUGGGCAAAUCCAGCUUAAGUUAAUAUCGCUCAAGUUUAGAGGGCCAUCAUUAAAUCUGGUGAAGACAUCGAAAAGGUCAUCCUUCAAAGUAUUUCAGAAUCGCUGGUAGAAAAACAUCAGAAAACCAUCAGGACCCGGGGCCUUUUCCGGUGCACUGGAGAACACAGCCGACUUCACUUUGUCCAUGGUAAAAGGAAGGUGGAGAUUGAAUAGAUCUAGACUUUCAGAGCCAUAGAGUGAAUGAAAGUGGAUAGACCUCCGCGUUGAAAAGUCGACCCCCAGCUGGCUAUGAUAAAAGGAAAACAGAUGGUUAGCUAUGGCCUCAGGUGAGCUAAGAGACUCGAUACCGUCCGAGAGGUGCGAGAUGUAAUUCCUAUUUUGACGACAGCUUGCGCGGAUGUGGAAGAACUUGGUGUUAGUAUCGCCCGCCUUGAGCCAUCGCACCCUGGAUCUUUACUUCCAAUACAGCUCAUCCUGUAGGCAGAGUACUUCAUAUCUACGUUUGGGUUGCAUCUUCAACAAAGUUUCCCUUUGUGAGAGCUCCCUUCCAACCUGAGCAGCAUCUAACCAUCCUAGCGAAUGAAAGCAAGAGUCAGCCUACUUCCGUAGAAGUGAGGUUCAGCUUGAACUCCAAGAAAGCAGAGCUUGUCGGACAUUCGCGAGCUUCUGGGUUAGGCGAGAGACAGGCUCAGAAGUUGGGGGAGUCGAGUUCCACGCAUCGGUCACCGUUUGAAACACGGAAGGGCAAUUGAGCCAGAAGGACUCGAACCUAAAGAUCCGAGAAUGAGGCACAAACGUAGAGGCCGUCAAGAGAAAGGGUAGUGAUCGGAUCGCGGCCUCAGGAGCGCCUUAAGAGAGGAGCGCGGAAAAUAGAGGUGCCAGUUGAGGGAGAUGAGUGGGCGGUCAAGUUGCUCCAAGGUGGGAAUUUGGCGCCUAUUUGUCCAAGUGUAAGCCUGGUUAAGAAAGGGUAGGUUGAUAAGUCCAACAUCAUUGAUCGCUUCCCUGAAAAGUAAAAUCUCCGAAGUGUUCGCCGGCCUACCAUAUUUAUCCUUCAGAGAGAGCAAGGUAUUGAAGUCGCCUAGAACGACCCAUGUGUCAACCGUAGGAACAUUGAUUCCGCGAAGCUCCUGGAAGAAGACCGGUUUUAGAUAUGCUCUGGUGGGAUCAGAGACAUUGGAUAUUAAAAACACUUUUCCAUCCACUUUUCUUUUAAGCACCACAUUAAGCAAGAAAGUGCCCACCCAGUGGUGUAUACAAUCAAACAGAGAGGUGUUCCAAGUUGUAAGGAGCCCUCCCCUGGUUCCCAUAGCAUCCAAGGUUCUUAAGUCUUGUAGAUGAAACCCACAGAAGAUCGAAACUUAGGAAGGGAGAGAGAAGAGAGCUUCGUUUCUUGGAGACAAAUCACAGAACAUUUGCAAGUACAAAAAUGGAUUUGACAACGUCACACUUGGUUUGAUCAUUCAAUCCCCUUACAUUCCAAGUUAGAAAACGGAAAGAUCUAUUCCUAGCUAUGAAAAGCAACAGCACACAAUUCGAAAGAUGGGGCAAGCUUUAAUUCUCAAGCUAAGCCGGUACGACGUCCUGGGCAGUGCCAACAUCAGGAGCCGGUGCUGGCGCUGUCGAGGUCCCCGCAUCGGUGGUUCAUGCAUCCUGUAGUAAGAUCCCGCAUGAGUGCAAUAUCUGCUAAAUCUCUCCAUCUAUAAGAGAAAACGCAGGAUCCUUUAAUGGAGUUGGAGCUGAGGCGGGCUGAGGUGAAGCCGUUGGGGGGGGGGGGGGGGGGGGUGUUGAGGUGCAGUUGUUGGUGGGGAGGGUUGAGGUGAAGCCGCUGGCGGGAGGGGGUUAGAACCUUCUCGAUCGUUGGGGCGACGGGAACCGCCUCGAAAUCCCCUGCGGACGCAGAAGAUGCCGAAGCGUAGGAGGGUGGCCUCACUGAUUUGGCUACAAAUCUCACCAACUUUAAUUUCUUGCACAUGAUUUCCUGAGCUCGAAGAAGGGAGGAUUUUUUUGGCUCCUCUGCUCUUGGCAGCGAGACGAAGACUACGUCUCGAGGGAAGAAGCUUUGGCGGAGCAAUACUGAUGGGACCCAGGGCAUUGGCUUGGUGCUGGCGUCGAGAGUCAAGGCCACCCGAGUUAGGGCCUAAAGCUGGAGAUUGAUGAGAAAAGGGGCUUUCCAUUGGCAAGGCACUAUCGAGUGGAAUAGAGGGAGAGGCCACCCCAUGGGCUUCACCCAGAGGCCCAAGACAGGUGGAGCCCAGGCAGUGCAAGUCCAUAGCAUCUUUACCAUCACCCAGGGGCCUAGGACAGGUCGAGCCUAGGCAAAGCAGGUCCAUAGCAGCUUUCCCCUUUCUAUGUGAGUUCGGCGGGCCUUCCAACGCAUAAGGAGUGGGCUUAGAACCAGGAGCUGGAGCCGAGGCAGGGAGCAGAAGUGGGGUACAUCCAAAGACAACGAAAUGACCAGACAAGAUAGGUGGGGCCUGGGUGUCAGGCACAGGACAAGGAGAGUUUGAAUUUGAAUUUGAAAACUCCCCCUGGACACGCUUUCCCCGACGUACGGACCACUGGUAAUCAGGGCCGCACCGUCGUUCCCCAAAGCUUGAGCUUACGUCGGAGUGACGAUGUUGCUCCAGAGGCUGUCUUGCAGGGACAGAGCUGAAACCCGUUAGGUGGAUGAAGGACUCCUGAGCAUCAACACAGUCGAGGCUGAGGCGACCGUCGAGGUCUUCCCCCAACAGAAUGGGGUUAGCCUCCUCCCAUGAUUCAACUUCGACCAAGACCUUAAAACGCCUAUCCUCCACCAUCAAGUUGAUGACCUCGGGGAUGUUCUGGACAUGUUGGCACCGGAUGUAAGCUCGAAAGAACAAGACAUCCAUCCUACUAUCGCUGAGUAGGUCAAUGUUCCAGAGCUCGCCGAAGCCACUAACAGCUGCCUUGACGUCCUCCUCAUUCCAACAGAGAAUCAGCCAAUGGUGCAACCGAAUCCAUGCCUUAUGAACGAGAUGACCUCUUUCCAAUUCCCCCGAUUCAAACCAGUUGGAGAAAGAGAACUCAAUCCCUUCGAACCAAAAAGGGCUACGGCCGAUGGCGGACUCACGCACCACCUAGUUCGGGAAGAAGACCGCCAGAGAAGACCCCCGAAAAUUAGCCACCCAAUAAUCUCUACUGGCCCCCCGAAUCUGGCAGCGAAGCCACACGAGAGGAUCUCCUUGACGUUGCCCCGUGGCCGGCUCCGAACUUCCACCAGGGCUACCCGCCCUGACAGAGAAGGCACCCCUACAGGAGGGUGUUUGGCUGGGAGGAAGGACGAGAUCGAACCAGGACACCCCGAGGAGAGGCCUUGCUCCAUGGAUCGAAGUCGCGGACAACGAGAAAGGGACUCACACCGAGAGGCUGUGUGGCCGAUCUUCAUGCACAGUAGACAGCGUCGCGGCUCCCUGCACCUCGCUGCCCGAUGGCCUCUUUCAAAGCACCUGAAAAAACGGCCUCUGAGAGAGGGAUUGAGGAGGAAUUUCGAUGGAUGAAGGAGCGUAGGGUAGGAGAGAUGCUGUUUGGGAGUAGGGAUAAAGUGAUGGCGCUUCGGCAGUGCAGUGAGGAUGGCAUCUUAAAGGAGUACCCAGGGCGGACACGUGUGGAGCCCGGGGCGCCCCCGAGGAGAGAAGGGCANUCGAGAUCGAACUUUUAGGCCGGUAUACCAUCGACGGCCCUCCACCAAGUGUGGAAAAGUUUGGCGGAAGACAACCUCUCUCUCUCUCUCUCCCUCUCUCUCUCUCUCUUAUUUCUUAUGAAUUACGUCAGUGUUUAGUUGGGUAUUGAGAAGAUCCAACUAAGCAAGUGUUGAGUACUGAAAUAAACCAAAUUCCGUGACCUGAAUAACUUAGUCAACUCGUCUAGCUUUGUUGUUCUUAAUUUUCUUUCAGGAAGUAAAAUUAAUUGCCAAUUGACAUUCAAUGAAAGAAUUGCUUAUAAUUAUGGUCAUAUUUGUUUCGUCAUCUAAAUUAGAAUUUAUGUGAAUUAGCUACUGCAGAGGAUCUCAUAAAGGAUAAAUAAUAUAAAAAACAUAAAAAUUGCAACCUCAACGGGUCGUCUCAUUGAUCAAAUUCCUUUCGUGUGAACAUGUGAUCAAAAUUUUCUAAUUUGACCUUUCAUGAAAUGCGCGUGAUGAUGUUGAAACUUGAUGAAAUUACGUACAAUUGUUGUAUAGACAUUUCAACUACCCUUGUCAACCAGCACAGUCGAUCAUAUUGCAUUCAAAAUUAAUAUUGAUAUUGGACAUAUUUUAAAGGCCGGUAAAUAAACAAUGAUUCAUGACUUUAAAGAACUAAUUAUUAAUUAAUUAGUUGUGGUUCUUCAGAAUUAUCACGUCAAUAUUGCUGAUGCUGCUUGAUAAUUAUAUAUGUGGUAUGAUACGGCUAAGACUGUUGAAUGAUAAUCACUUACUUGUCUCAUAUUAGUUCUUGAAGGGUAAUUCUUUUUCUUAUGUAUGUGUCGAAGUUGAGGACUAGAUAGAUACCUUUUCUUUUUCUUUUUCUUUUUCUUUUUCUUUUUUCCAAAUGGACUAGAUACAUCAUCAGGCUGCAUGUAUGAGCUCACUGAAGACGUCAAUGGAGGAAAUGAGCGAAAAGCAUGCUUGUUUGUUAUAAUGCGAAAACAAUAUGAAACUGUAGCAUUGUCGAGCUUAGUGGUGGGGUCCCUCCUCUGCAAACAAUCCCAGGAUAAUCCAUUAGGUAUCGUUUGGUUCGGGGAUAAAGAAAAAGUGGCUAUUCCAGGGAUAGGUAUAAAUUGAGGUAUAAGCGAGGAUUAGAUCAAUUUUGUGUUUGGAUGAAAAUUGGAUUAUUCCUGAAAUAAAAAUAACAACGUUUGGUUAGGUAAGAUGGAAUAAGAAAGAUAAUGGGUUUUGUAAAUAAAAAAUAAUGAUAUUAUCCACUUAUUAUAUUUGAAUUUGAAAUUUUGAAUUUUUAAAUUUAUAUUUCUAAAUUUAAAAUUUUAACUUUGAAAUUUAAAAUCUCAAAUUUUAAAUUCAAAAUUUUAAAUUUUAAAUUUCAAACUUUAAAUUUAAGAUCAUAUUUAAAUUUAAAAAAUAUCAAAUAUCAAAUUUUAAAUUUCAUAAAUUUAAAAUAUCAAAAUUUAAAUUUAAAAUUUAUAAUUUAUAAUUUAAAUUUUAAACUUUAAUUUUGAGAUUAUAAAUUAUAAAUUUUAAAAAUUUAAAUUUUUAAUUUUUAAAAUUUUAAAAUAAGAAUAGUGGUGGGAACAAUUAAUAAAAAUAAUUUAUUAUAAUAAAUUUAUAAUUUUUAAAAAAAUUCUACUUAAAUUUAAAUUUAAUAAAAAAAAUUUAUUAUAAUAUUUAAAUAUAAUUUAUUAUAAAUUUUAUUAUAAUAUUUAAAUAUAAAUAAUAUGUAUUAAUAUAGUACAAUUAAUAAUUUUAUAAUAAAAAUAAUGUAUUAUAAUAUAUAACAUAUUAUAUUUAUAUAAUUUAGUUUUAAUUCAAUUUAUAAUUUUAAUUAAGUUUGAAAUUAAGCAUUGGAAUAGCGUUAUUCCACCAAAAUGGUGGAAUAAUAAAUUUCUUGCUAUCUCGGGAUAAUCGGGAAUAGCAAGGUUUGACCGGGAUAAAAUAUCGCAGCCAAUUUUCAUCCCGUUUAGCGGAAUAGCGGGGAUAACUUUCAUUAUCCCUGCUUAUCCCCCAACCAAACGGGGCCUUAGGGCGCAACUGAGUAGUCUAAUGUUGUUCCGGCUUUGGUUUUUGUGAACGUCGACAUCGAUUCGUUGCAAAUUUACACUCUCGGGGCAUAAUAGAACAAUUUUAUUAGCUUUUACUCUUCGUUCGAUAGAAUGAGAAAAAGCCCUCGUUGCCAAUUUAUACUGUUAGGGCGCAACUGAGUAGCCUAAUGUUGUUCCGGUUUUGGUUCUUAUGAACAUUGACAUCGAUUUGUCGCAAAUUUACGCUCUCGGGGCAUAAUAGAACAAUAUAAUUAGCUUUUAUUCUUUGUUCGAUUGAAUGAGAAAAAGUACUCGUUGCAAAGAUAUACUGUUAGGGCGCAACAGAGUAGUCUAAUAUUGUUCCGGUUUUGGUUCUUAUGAACGUUGACAUUGAUUCGUUCCAAAUUUACACUCNAUUUUUCAUAUGCUCUCCUCUUAUAGAUAGGACUGACAAAGAACAAAGUUCUUUUUCUAUCACUUCGCUCGCCCCUUUCUUUUUUGAUCAAUUUAUUUAUUUUUAAUUGAAUUUCCCCCUUUUUAAUGGGAAUAGAUUAAAUCUAGUAAUUUCAUUUAGGUUAGGUCUUAGGUCUCAUUUCAAUUGCGAAAUAUAUCGUUUGUGGAAACGUUUCCUAAAAGGAAAAAAGUUUCCAUUGUACUAAGCUAAGGACGGGAAGGAAGAAAGCGAGUGAUCUGGUAAUUCCUCAUCCUCAAAGCAGUCCUUCCUGGAGUCUCAACAAAUAAGUAAUUAUAGGAGUAAAGUGUUGAUAUAAUUCGAAGAAGGAAACGGCAAUUUAAUUUCAAGUUAAUAAAAUAAGAAAAAAAGUAAAAAGAGUAUGUAAUCUAAGGUACUUUUUUACAUUUCUAGGAUUAAACAAAAGGAUUCGCAAAUAAAAGCGCUAAUGCCACAACCAGUCCGUAAAUUGUUAAAGCUUCCAUAAAAGCUAGACUAAGCAAUAAAGUACCUCGUAUUUUACCCUCUGCUUCUGGUUGUCUCGCAAUACCCUCUACAGCUUGGCCUGCAGCAGUACCUUGACCAACUCCAGGUCCAAUAGAAGCAAGUCCUACAGCCAAUCCAGCAGCAAUAACGGAAGCGGCAGAAAUCAGUGGAUUCAUGGUAAGUUCCUCGCACCAAAAAAAAGAAAAAGAAAUGGUUAAUGAUACAAUCGACCAAUGAAUUAUUACUUAAUUUUAUCAUUAAGUUUGAUCAUUAAGAUCUAUUGGGUCGAAGUAACUAAAAACUAAUGAUAAUAUUACUGACUCGUCAGAACUACUUCGAUAUCUCGUUUUUAGUUUCUACCCAUGAUGAAGUUUUUGUAAAUCCAUAUACAUACGGUUCUAGUUAUUGCAUUUCUUUCUUUCCAACCAUUCUUUCAUUCAAUCCUUCGUUCUUUACUCUUCUAUAUCCUUGAGUUCAUCUGUUUUUUCAUCCAAUCCACAAUCACAAAUGAAACAGAAGAAAGGACUUGACUUAUCUUGUAAUCCAUCUAAUCUAAAUGCAGUAAACUGCAAUCAAAUCAAUAUAUGCAAUCAUCAAUAUAUGCAAUGGAUAUCAAUAUGAUCGAUAUCAACGAUAUCAAUAUAUCAAUAUAACGAUAUCAAUAUGUAUAUCAAUACAUAUAUAUAUAUUUUUUAUUUUGCUAUAACUAACUAUAUAUAUAUAUUAUAUAUGUAUAGCAUAUAGUUAGAUAUAUAUAGUUAGUUAGUAUAUAGGUAGGGUAUAAGGUAGGGUAUAAGGACUUAUAUUUAUAUAUAGAUAGGACUAUAUAACUAGUGAAUAUCUAAUAUUGCAUAUACAUAUUACAUAUACAUUUCUUUCUUCCAUAACGUAAACUGGCCGCAUUUUAUAUUGAAUCGGAUUAUAGAAUCAUUCCUUGAAACCCACACAAAAAGUGGCUGGACUUAUAGACAUUACAUACAUCUAGUGUGACCUCCCCAACCCAUUUUUUUUUUUUACAAUUCCGUAAUAUCGUUCAUCUUCUCUCCUACGACUCUAGGUCAUAUCUUCAUACGUAUUUAUAUCUAUUAUGUUCUCCAACCAAGCAGAUUAUCUUGAACCAUGCAUGAAUUGGGAUAAGCUAAAAAAAAAGACUAUUUCGAAAACUAGUCAAUGAUGACCCUCCAUGGAUUCGCCUAUAUAAGCCGCGGCCAACGUUGCAAAAAUAAGAGCUUGAAUACCACUUGUAAAUAAUCCAAGAAACAUGACAGGUAUAGGAACUACUGAAGGGACUAAAGAAACAAGAACAACAACUACUAAUUCAUCAGCCAAUAUAUUCCCGAAUAGUCGACUGUUCCACCAAAAUGGUGGAAUAGCAAAUCCCUUGCUAUUCCGGGAUAACCGGAAAUAGAAAGAUUUGACCGGGAUAAAAUAUCCUGGCCAAAUUUCAUCCCGUUUGGCGGAAUAGCGAGGAUAACUUUCAUUAUCCCCGCUUAUCCCGCGAUCCAAACAGGGCCUUAAGGUACCGUUUGUUUGCAGGAUAAAAUGGGAAUAGCCCAUUUUAUCUUGCUAAUUCACCCAAACAGCCCAUUAAAUUGUGGGUUUAAUUUAGCCCUGUCUUAACGGGUUAUCCAAGGAUAACCCGUUAAGACCAAUUCCCCACCACCCAUGGAAUAAACAACUUUGCUAGGGUUAGCUCAGGGGCAGGGAUUGGAAAUUUGGUAAAAUGCAUCUUCGUCGCCUACGCGUUCCUCGCCUCCGUUAAUGCCCCAUACCUACCUUCCUCCUUGCUAAUUACUCCGCCCAAAUCCUCCUGCCUCCUCGUGUCAGCCGCCUUCUUCCUCCUCUCCACUUCUCUCGAUGCAAUCUGCUGGGAAAAGCCCAUUUAAGCAAGAUCUCAUUUGGGAUUCGGCUUCAUCGGUAAUCCUUCUCGUAUCUUGCUUUCUUCCUCCCUACUUCUCUGGCAGUCUCUCUCAACUACCGCCAUCAAUGAGGAAGAUCUCGCUCGAGAUCCAUCCUCAUCUGUAACAUUCAUCUCUCAAACCCUUCGAUUUGAUGGAUAUUAAUGGGUACUACCCCCUUUGGGUCAACAUGUGGGCUUCUGAUGUACGAAACCUCCUCCUUCCUCUUUGCCGACUAUACUGUGGUGUCAAGUCGGCCAUUAAGUGCGAAAACCAUCCUCACAGGUAUAAGGCAUGAAGUUUUUGUGCCCUUCUUCUCUUUAAAUUAGGUGGGACUCAAAGGUAGUGCUUCUCUUUGCCAUUAGCUUCAAACUGUAUCUCUGUUACUAUUUUGUUGGCUGACAUUGUUGGAGGAGAAGUCUUCAACGUUGAAAUUUUCAGCCUUUUUCUGAUCUCAUCGAGGUGGGAUUUCAUAUGAUUAUCUUGUAAUGUCAACUACUUUUUGUAGAUUUCUCUUUGACAUUUUCUACUACCUGAGGCUACUGUUUGUUGUUUUAUACAAGUAGAGCCUAGCUUUUGUAUGCUCCUUACUUUACAAUCCAACCAUGAAAACAGAGAACAUUGCCAUUUGGCCAUUUGUUUCGAGGGAAAUUUUUUUAAAAAAAUUAUUCGAUGAUGUAGGGAAAGGAUAAUUACAUAUCCUUGGCAGGGUGGCAUAGUUUUUUGAACUAGUGCAGCCGCCAUGGAGUCAUGUACAACCUUAUCCCCUGAGGCAUUUCAAAAAAUUAUAUAUCAUAAUGACCCAGUAAUAAACCAAUCUAAUAUGUAUGCAGGAAUACAUAUGAUUGAUUUGUUUGCUUACUCAUCUCAGAUGGCUCCUCUAAAAAAGUCGCUGCAGCCUAAUUUGAAAAACAAGGGCUCAUUUAUUGAUGUUCCCUCUACUGACAGUCAAAGCUUAGAUUGCUCUAUGCAAGAAUCAACUAAAACCAGGGUAAGAUCGGGUAACUGGACAGAAAUAAUGGACUCCGCAAUGUUGAACGUAAUGAUAGAGGAGCAUACUCUUGGGAACUUUGUCAAUGGGAGUUUUACUCCAUUGGCAUGGACUAGAAUGAUUCGAGAUUUCAAUGAGAGGACAAAAUUGGGCUUUACCAAAGUUCAUUUGCAAAACCGUUUGAAAGUCUUGAAGCGUCAAUAUUUGAUGUAUCAAACUUUAGCCAACAAAAGUGGAUGGGGGUGGGAUUCCACACAAAAUAUUCCAACUGCGGGUGACUCCAGUGAUUGGGAUGCCAUUAUAGCGGUAUGUGUUUCAAUAUUUUACAAUCUAUCGUUUUAUCUAAACCCAAAUUAUUCCUUUUUAUAGGUGAACUUAUGCAUAUCAUAUAUAUAUUUUUUCCAUUUUUAGGAAAAUCCUGCUUAUGCUAAGUGUCGGGACAAACCAUUUCCGGCAUAUCAAUCUAUUGAAUUCUUGACUGGAAAAGGUACUGCAACCGGUAGACAUGGAUUUACUUCCCGAGUGGAGGUCGAGGAUGUUCGUAGCACCUCUUCCUCCUCUCCUGCUACGCAACCACUCAAUAUGGAAAACUUUGCCAAGAAUUUAGAGGACGUUAAUGACGCCAAUUCAACUUCUCCAACUCCGACUCCAAUUAAAGUAAGUACCCACUAUGAAGGUAGUGGCUCCGGCCGCACUUCAUCGUUGAAGAGGCCGCGAGUGUCACCACCAAAUCCUACACCAACUUCAAACCGUCGCCGAAAAGAUGACGGUCGAACGCAAGCAAUUUAUGAGCUCGUUGAAUUGGGAAAAAAAAGAACUGAAAUUGCACAAGCUAUAAUGGACCGUGAGUUACAAGCUCGGCCAAAAAUUCACUCAAUAGAGGAGUGUAUGGAAAGGCUCUCCACUGUUGCUCACUUGACUCCUGAUGGUUUACUUGCUGUGUGUGAGGCUUUAAAAGAUGAGCGCAAUAGGCCUAUUUUUAUGAAAUUGAGUGGCGAUAUGUUGUGCAUGUGGAUAGAUCGUCAAAUCGCCAUGCAACAAUUUUAUGCUGGACAAAGGCCUAUUGCAUCAUCAUUUGCACCUACUGCACCCUUUUUCACAGCAGCAUCUUCAUCCUUUACUCCUGGACCAUUUGCAUCCUUUCCACCUGCAAGUGCAAGCUUCCCACUUGGCACGCCCACUUUUCCUCCUGCAGGACCUUCUGGCUCUUCUAAUUUACCAUCAUUUUCGCCGGAAAGGCCAUCUUUUCCGCCUAAUUAAGUUCGUACUUUUGGAUUGAUGAAGAAACUUGCCCUUUUUUGGUGUUUGGCACUUCCUGGUUGUGCUACUUAGUACUAAUUAAGUGAGCACUUAUUAUCUAUUUUGUUUGCAUAAAGCUCUGAGAUGCUGCAUGUAUUAACUAAUGUACUCUUUCUAUUUUACAUGUACUCUAUGCUUUACUUAUAUGCUUUGUUAAGUUCAAACAGUAUGUCCACUAUGAAGGACUUGUAGGCUGAUCCAUGCUUUUUCAAUUUCUAUAACUGUUACUCUGCACAGCUUGCUUCUUCUCAACUUUUUAUUUGCUAGUCUUUACUUACCAUUGAUGAGCACAAGAGGUGAUUGGUAUGAAAGGUAUAAGUUUGGUUCAUUAGCUAAGCACUUGUUUCAAUUUCCUAUAUAUAUGCUUGCCAUACUUCUAUUAACUGUUGUGUUGUACCAUACUUUUGGAAUCCUAUUCCUAUAUAACCUGAUCUAUUUUCCUUCAUGGCCAGGUAUAAAAGGUAAUAUACUUUUGCCGAAAUGGAUGAUUAUUUGGUUCAAUCUUAGUAUGUAUAAGCUUGCUUCUUCUCAAGUUGUAAUACAAACGGUACGCGCUCCGGCAAUGAUGAAUAAAGCUAGCAACAGUCUUGAAUGGUUUGGGGGGCAAUAGGUGACCUAUUGCAGCCACCGUUCAGACUUGGGCCCUUUAUUACCUGAGCCAACACAUGAUUGUUCAGCUGCAAGGUGCAGUGUUAUUAAUCUCCAACUCUCUUCAAUACUCUACUUAUUGGGUUCAAUUGCUAUUAUUCGAGGUAAGUGAAUGCUACAAGUUUCAUGUAACAUGAUUUCAAAAGUAUGUUUUUGUCAAGACGUUGUAAAAAAUUUUCGAACUGGUUCAGUUGGUCCAUGUUUUUGCAAACAAGUUGCUUCUCGCUUCUUUAUCAUGCUUGCAGUUUAAUAUUGUAAUUAUUCCAUCUUACUUGUAGCUUAUUUAAAAUUUGUUCUGAUCUUUUGUUUGCAUAUGUCCCUGUGUAAGUGCAUCCAUGUGCAACUAGUAACUUUAUAUUGGUCUCUGUACCUCAUAUAUUGUACCUACAAGUGUGGAACUUCGAUUGUUUGUCAUACUUCUAUUAAUUGGUGUGUUCUACCAUAGUUGAAGCUUAUGAUUCCUAUAUAAUCUGAUCUGUUUUCAAUCAUGGCCAGGUAUAAAAGGUAAUAUAAUUUUGCCAAAAUGGUAUGACUUUGCUUCAAGCUUAGUAUGUAUAAGCUUGUUUCUUCUCAACUUGUAAUACAAACAGUAUGCGGUUCGACAAUGAUGAAUAAAGCUUGCAUUAGUCUUGAAUGGUUUGGGGGGCAAUAGGUGAUCUAUUGCAGCCACCAUUCAGACUUGGGGCCUUUAAUACCUGAGCCAACACAUGAUUGUUCAGCAGCAGCAUGUAAUUAAUCUCCAACUCUCUUCUAACCUCCACUUAUUAGGUUCAAUUACUAUUACUAGAGGUAAGUGACGGCUAAAAGUUUCAUGUAACAUGAUUUCAAAAGUAUGUUUUUGUCAACACGUUGUAAAAUAUUUUCCAACUGAAUCAUUUGGUCUAGGAUUAUGCAAACAAGUUGCUUCUCGCUUCUUUAUCAUGCUUACAGUUUAAUAUUGUAAUUAUUCCAUCUCGCUUGUGGCAUGCAUGCUUUGGUAUUUGUUCAGAUCUAUACAGAAAUAUAGUUUUAUAGCAAUGGGAGAUCAUUUGUUUCAAGCAUUUUUAAUCCCCGCUUGCUUCUUCUCAACUUGAAAUACAAACGAAGCGCGCUCCGGCAAUGAUGAAUAAAGCUUGCAACAGUCUUGAAUGGUUUUGGGGGGCAAUAUGAGACCUAUUGCAGCCACCAUUCAGACUUGGGCCCUUUAUUACCUGAGCCAACACAUGAAUCCUCUUCUAACCUCCAGGUAUUGGGUUCAUAUUAAUAUUACUCGAGGUAAGUGACUGCUGCAAAUUGCAAGUAACAUGACAAUUGGGAAUUUCAAGUCUCUAUAACUUAGUUACUGCUCCUGCAACCAUGGUACUUCAAUUGAUUGAUUCCUAUUGUUAAUUGUUGUUGCUGCAACUAUGUAUGACUUUGCUUAUUCUCAACUUGAAAUCUGCGUGUUACUCGCUCCGGCAAUGAUGAAGUAAAGAGCACUGGUCGUGAAUGGUUGGGGGGCAGUGGGAAACCUCUUGCAGCCAUCAUUCUCACUUGAGCUCUUUAUUACCUGAGCCAUCACAGGGUAGGGGGGCAGUACAUGCGGUAUAUUUGCCACUAUGCCAGUGUGACUUUAAGUCAUCCUAACCCAACAUAUGUUAAACACAGUACAGUUUACUUAUAUUGUCCUCUUUAUUACUUAAGCUCAAGUUAUUGCAUAGAUACAUAUUGCAUCAGAGUUUUUUCUUCAAAUGCAGUCAUGGCUGGAGCAAACAAUCAGCGUGUUUUUUCUUCAACACUUGUUGCCGAUCUCAUGACAUUCUUAGAUGAGGAAGAAGAUUAUUGGGAAGAAGUGCAUGCCUUACUUAUCGAAGAGGGGGACUUUUCAUUCCACAACACUAUUUAUAGGCAGCCUUGUCGAACUCGGCCAUUUACUGGCCACGAGCUAAUUCAUGACAUAUUGCGUGGACACCCUGAUAGAGGUUAUCAACAUUUCAGGAUGACCACCACUAUGUUUACAAGGCUUCGAGAAGAACUGGUUGGAAGGGGUUUUAUACAAAAUACUAGGCAUUUAACUGCUGACGAGCAGCUUGGUAUAUUUCUAUUUGGUACAGGUCAUGCCGUGGCCAAUAGAGUUUUGGCGGAAACUUUUCAACAUUCUGGAGAAACGAUUAGCAGGCAUUUUAAUAAUGUACUGCGCGGCGUGGUUGAACUUAGGCAUGACUACAUCCAACUCCCACUAUCAAAUACAGGAGUACACCCUAGAAUAAAGGAAAAUCCGACAUUCUAUCCAUUCAAGGUGAGUCGCAAGUUGAAACUUUGUGAAAACAAAAUUUGAAAUCUUUGGAGUCCCGAAAUAUUUGAAGCUAACUAUUUUAUUUAUCUUUUGAAUUUAGAAUGCAAUUGGUGCAGUAGAUGGGACUCACAUACCGGUGGUUGUACGGAAGCAUAAGCAACCAAGAUAUCGGUGUCGAAAAGGAUUUACUUCUCAGAACAUGAUGGCCGCAUGCUCGUUUGACCAUCAGUUUCUAUUUGUGUGCACCGGGUGGGAGGGUUCUGCAGCUGAUAUGAGGGUACUGCGAUGGUGUUGCGAGAGUGGCGGUUUCGCUGUCCCGGAAGGUCAGUAAUGAUUUGCAAGGUGAUGUGUUUCUCAGCUUAUCAUUUGUCUAAUUUUCAUAAAGUGUUCUGGUGUGUGUAGGAAAAUAUUAUCUUGUUGAUUCUGGAUAUGCGAAUACUGAUCACUUCCUCGCGCCCUAUCGAGGGGAACGAUAUCACUUGAGCCAAUUUGAUGUAAAUGCACAAGCCCGAAGGCAUCGAGGACCUCGAGAUUUAUAUAAUCAUCGUCAUGCUCAAUUGCGAAACGUAGUUGAGAAAGCUUUUGGGAUCCUAAAGAGGCGGUUCAAGGUGCUUCGACAAGCAACACCAUUUCCCUACAAGGUGCAGUGUCGCAUUGCCCUCGCAUGUUGUGUCAUACACAAUUUCAUCAAAAGACACCAAGGGACCGAUAGGUACUUCAACAUGCAAAUGGACUCAUUGCCGAUGGACGACACACUUGAUGAAUCAUCAGCUCCUGUUGGGCCAGACGAGUCUCGGAGAGGAGACGCCCUUCGCACUAUGAUAACAGGGCAACUUUGGAACAAUAGAUAGGAGGAAAAUAUUGAGAAUGAUGUAAAUUUGUUUUUUACUUUAUGCUUUUUUUUUUCCUUCUCAACUUAUGUGCUGUGUCUUUAAACUGAAGUUAUUGCGUGCUGUUUUCCAUAUCUUUGUAAUUGGAAGUUAAGUUAUGUUAUGUUUGCACUGAUUACUUUCAGCCGUAAAAUGCUUUGAUUAAUUUUAAUAUACAAAUUUUGUUUUAGUUAAUUGGUAUGUUUGUUGAUUGGAGUUGUAUUUUAACUUUUAGUUCUCUGCAUCAGUUUUGCAAACUGAUUGUGUUAGAAUAUUUUAAAUGAGAAUUAUGCUUUGUUAUAAUGUCGAAUGAUGUAACUAAAUAAUUUCGUCUCUUACAACUUUGCUACAAUUAAAAAAAAAAUCGAUUGGCCGUACAUCUAAUUUUGUUAUGUAUUGUUGAGAUUUCGUAACAAGUAGAAUAUAUUUUAAAAAACAUAUUAAUUAACUUAACAUUAUAACCAAAUAAAUAAAAAAGUUUAUCAAUUUAUCAAAUUUUCUAAACCAACAUGUACUUGUAUGUGUAUUAUUAACCAUAUAUAUGAAAGAGCACCCAAGGGCAAAAUAGGUAUAUAAAAAAUGUAACAUUCAUCUCUUUUCACUAUUCUCAACUAUUCCACCAAAUUAACCAAAUACAAUUUCAGCUAAUCCUUAGAAUACCAGCUUUACCAACCAAACGGUAUUUACAUUUUAUUCCUAAGUAUUCUGGAAUAACAAGCUAUCCUAGGGUUAAAAAAAUUUAUACCAAAGUUUUUAAUCCCCGAACCAAACGCAGCCUAAGAGGUGGGAUAGCCUUUUCUUUGUGUUUGGGAUAAGGGGCCGGAGGAUAACCCCUUAUCCUCUCCCUAUCCCGCAACUAAACGCUGGCUUAUUAACUACUUUAUAGUGAUUCUCUUUCUUGCUCUGGCCUCCGUAGACGUAGGCUUCGGCCAAACCAUAUAAAUCUCAGUGUUCUUAACUGUGCAAUUACUGUAAUUUCUCUAAAAUAUAUAAAAAUUACCUCAACUGUCACUUAUUUGGAUUUGACUAUCUAAUCUUUAAAAAUUUUGAUUUUACUAUUUGACCUUUUAAUUUAUUUAAUUUGAGCCAAUUUGUGAUUCUUUAACUUUAAAAUUUGAAUAAGAUGUUUAUCUUUACGGGUUUGGUUAGUAUAUUUUAUCAAUUUAUAUAGCUAUAAAUUUAUUAAAAUAAGUAAUUAGCUUAAAUUUUAUAUCAUAAAAGCUAUCAAAUUAUUUAGAUCAAACAAAUUGAAAUGUUGAGUAAUAAAAUUAAAAUUUUAAAAGGUUGGAUAGUUGAAUCGAUCAAAAUGAUCUAUAAUUCAAGUGAGUUUUAUGAUUCCUCACUCUUUCUCUCAUUCAAAACCGUUACAUUUUUGCUUUAUUAUUAUUAUUAUUAUUAUCGUUGACUAAUUUGUUUAUGCUAUUUCUCGGUGCUCGAUCGAUCCCAACACUUAGCAUUAGUGACAUUUGGGAGUGCAUUAGUGACAUUUCGGAGUUAGUUUUCUUGACUGAUUAUUUUUCCUUCUUCUUUGCCUUUUUUCUUCGUAAACGUGUAUAGAUCUUUUGUGAACUACAGUAAGUUUUGAAGUGCACAUAGAAAUGCAAAUACGAAAAAUACUUCCAUCAUAGUGCUUAUUUUUACAGAUUUUUCUCUUUUUAAUUUAGCCAACUCAACAUCAUAACUCAAUGGUAUUUUCUAAUCUUUUGGCAGAUUAUUCUAAAACCUGAUACUUAUUUUCUCACUUAAUUGGCAAAGUAUUUUACAACUUUUGAUGAAAAGCAUUAAAUUCUAAUAGGAUUUGACAAAAUGUUUUGAAAUUGGAAGGAAGGUUAGAUAGCUACUAAAAAAAACCAAAAACAAAAGAAAAGAAAAGGUAAGUAACAAAGUGAUCAAAAAUUUGAAGUUUAAAUAUAAAAUUGUUUGUACCUUUUUCUCAAUUCAUAGAUUUGGGCUAAACCAUUUUAAAUGUGAUGAAGGCCAAAACAGAGAUGCUCAUUAGUCCAUAACAUAAUGCCAGACUAAACUUUCUUUUUAUUUUUCUUUAUGUUUUUUUUCUUAGUUUUUUUCAAUUAAGUAGGGCACUAAUUGUUAUAUUUGGUUUAAAUUUGUAGUUAUCUGAAUUGGAAUUAAAUUCUAAUCUAAUUGGAAUUAGAUAUAAUUUAAUCUAAUUUGGCAUAUAUGGAUAAUGAGUCGAAAAAUUGAAUUAGAUUAGACUUGUGUUUAGAAAUCCAAUUAGAUUAGAGUUCCAAUUAGACUCCAUUUUGAAGCCACAUCAUAUAUAUAUAUAUAUAUAUAUAUAUAUGUAUAUAUAUAUAUAUAUGUGUGUGUGUGUAUAUAUAUAUAUAUAUGUAGAGUUGGACUGGACUACUAUUAAUAGCAAAAUUUAUUGUUGCUACCAGUUUUUUAGCCUUUGGAUCAAUUCUUUUCAUUAUUUCUAACCAUUGGAUUAAAUACUAUAACCCAGUGGAGACCACUCAACUCUAGGGGGACCACUCAACUCUAAACAACUAAUAUCAUCCUGACCCUACAAUUUUUCAUCCAAGGGUUAAAAACUUGAUAGCAAAAAAAGCAUUUUACUAUUAAUAGUCACUACAACAAAAACGGUCUAUAGCUACACUUUUAAAUGUAGGUACAUGUUAAAAAAGUGCUGCUAGCUAAAAUUACCGACACUUUUAAAAAGUGUUGCUAUAUGUGGGUCGCUAGGUAUAUAGUGACAGUUAAAGAGUGUCGUUAUAACCUAAAAGAGUGCUGCUAAUUUACCAACACUUAUUUAAGCAUUUAGCAACCGCCGAAACUCUAUUGCGUUGGCUGCAGUGGCGGAGGAGGACGACAGGAAAGGCUCUUCGUCUAGAAUUUCAGUAGAUUGAGUGAAGAGAGAAGAAAAGAUGGUAAUUGAUUUUUCUUUUUUUUUUCUUUUCUGUUUGUAAUCGGGCUAAAUGGACUGGGUGUGGUGGGUUGAGUAGAAUAAUUUUUUAUUUUUGGUUAGAUUGGACUUUAUAUUUAGGCCUUAGUAGAUGUUUUUUUAAGUUUUAGUAUAAAUGGGAUACUUAUUCAAAAGUGUCCCAAACAUGUGUCCCCAUAACCUAAUUUUGUUGUAGUGAGUAUUCCAGCCUAAUUCUAUAUAUAUAUAUAUAUGUGUGUGUGUGUGUGUGUGUGUGUGUGUGUAUAUAUGUAUACAUAUAUGUGUAUAUAUAUAUAUGUGUAUGUAUAUAUGUAUAUACAUAUGCGGCCAAGCUAAUGAAGCCGGAGCCAUGACUCAAAUUAGGCCAUGUAAAUUAAUUAAGUUGUUGGUGGUCACGUUGUGGCGGCGCGCGGUGUGCAUUGCAGAGCCUCUGUUGGGGAUCUAAUUAUGAAGGCGAUGCUAUGCAUGUACAUGUUAAGAAGACAUGCUAAUUAAACUGCAUGUUGGAGAGAGUUGACCAAGCCUAUUGGCCGUACGGUAAUGAGGGGCCGUGGCGUUAAUUAAGCCGAGGCAGUUCAUAGUUUCUUGUACGGAUGCCAAUUUUGACGUUUUUGAUCCAAUUAAGUUUUGACCUUUUGAGAGAUUUUCUUUGUCCUCCGUCUUUUCAACAUUAAUAAAGUAUUUGCUCCGUGUUCGUCCAUGGACGCGCAUAGGUCGUUGGCCGAACCACGUAAAAUAUCGAUGUACUUUUUUUUCUUUUCUUUUCUUUUUCUUGCAUUAAGUUAUUUUCUGAAUCUAUUUUUUAUCGUUCCGAUUUUAACAAAUUGGUAUCAAAGCCUUUCUAUUCCCUUUGAGGAUUAAGAUAACAACGAAGUUCGAGAUUCAGAAAUUUGACAGGACCAACAGUUCGCAUUAUUGUAAGUCAAGAUGCGUUUGCUAUAUUAACGCAACAAGAAUUGCAGAAGAUACUGUUGGAAAAAGCAAAGAUGUCUAAUUCUUUGACGCCGGAGUAGAAGAAGAAGAUUGAUGACAAACCUCUUACGGCAAUACAAUUAUAUUUAUUCGAUUAGAUAUUGCGCGAGGUCUUGGAUGAAAAGGCCGCUGCAGGGCUUUGGCUUAAAUUAGAGUCUCUCUACAUGACGAAGUCUCUCACCAACAAGUUAUAUUUGAAGUAACGUCUCUUCAUAAUUAAAUCGCAUUUAGAUGAAUUUAAUUCUAUUAUUAUGAAUCUCCGCUCUAUAAAUAUUAAAAUCGAGGAGGAAGAUAAAGCCCUUUUAUUAUUAUGUUCUCUGCCGCCCUCCUACAAGAAUUUUCGUUAGACCUUCUUGUUUGGACGAGAUACUCUAUAUCUCAAUGAUGUUAAAUCUUCUUUACUUUCAUCAGAGAGAAUUAACUUACAGAUAAGCAACGAGACAAGUGGAGCUUCAGGACAAGGUUUGGUCGCUAGAGGGAGGUCUCGGGAGAAGGAUUCCGGUAAUAGAGCUACAUUUAGAUCAAAAUCAAAGUACAGAAAUCUGAUUUGUGGUUAUUGUAAGAAGAAGGGUCACAUAAAAGCUGAUUGUUUCAAGUUGAAAAAUAAAGAGCAGUGAAAGAAUAACGAUGAUAAAAAUCAAGGUCAGAAAAAGCACCAAUACUGAAGCAGAAGUAAGUGUUGCAGCAGGAGAAUCAGAUAAAAAUGAUAUCGUCUUCACAGUUACGGAUAAGACACACAAACAGGAUGAGUGGCUUAUAGAUUCCGCAUGUUCCUUUUAUAUCUGUACGCAUAGAGAAUGGUUUUCGACGUACAAGCCUAUUCAAGGUAGAGAUGUACUGAUGGAAAAUCACUCUAAGUGUACAGUUAUUAGAAUUGGCAUUGUUCAGGUACGAAUAUUCGAUGGAGUAGUGAGGACUAUAUUUGAGGCUCGACAUGUUCCGGAUAUGAGAAAAAAUCUGAUCUCAUUGGGUACACUUGAUACUAAAGGCUUUAAGUAUUCUUCAGCUAAUGGAUUAAUAAAGAUUGCUAAAGGGAAUCUUGUAGUGAUGAAGGCCAAGUUGUCCGACAUGUUAUAUGUUCUAUAGGGUUUUACUGUGACAGGUUCAGCAGCGGUGACUUCUUCCUCUAUGUCAGAUUCUGAUAGCAACGGAUUAUGACAUAUAUGACUGGGCUAUAUGAGUGAAUAUAGUAUGAUGAAGUUGGGCGAGAGAGGUCUACUUGGUAGUCAGAGUUUAGAAAAGUUGGAUUUCUGCGAGUAUUGUGUUCUUGGCAAAUAAAAGAGAGUCAGCUUUAAGGCCGCAGUUCACUGGACAAAAGGUACUCUGGACUAUCGUACUCCUACUCAUGGUGGUGCUAGAUAUAUGUUGACUUUUAUUAACGACUAUUCUCGUAAAGUGUGGGCGUUCUUUCUGAAAAGUAAGGAUGAGGUGUUCAAUUAUUUCAAGCAGUGGAAGGUCAUGAUUGAAAAGCAAACUGAAAAGAAGAUCAAGAGAUUAAGGACCGACAAUGGUUUGAAAUUUUGUUCAUCGGAGUUUGAAGAAUUCUGCAAGAAUGAAGGAAUCGUCAAACAUAAAACCGUUAGGCAUACUCCACAGCAGAACGGGGUGGCCGAACGGAUGAACAGAACUCUUUUAGAAAGAGCUCGUUGUAUGCUCUCUAAUACUGGCUUAGUUAAGAGUUUCUAGAAAGAGGCGAUCUCUACGGCAUGCUAUUUGGUGAAUCGAUCUCUACAUUCAACACUUGAUUGCAAAACUCCGGAGGAGGUAUGGUCUGGCAGCCCUUCUGAUUAUCCUAAUUUGCGAAUAUUUGGUUGUCCUACUUAUAUUCAUAUAAAUAAAGGCAAGUUAGAACCUAGGGCUAAAAAGUACAUUUUUUUUUGUUCUGCAUCGGGAGUUAAGGAAUAUAGAUUGUGAUGUCCUGAAUCAUCUAAAUUAAUUAUUAAUAGGAUGUCAUAUUUGAUAAAUUUGCUAUGUUAUAUCCUAUGGUAAUUCUUCUGAUGAGACCCCGAGUCCUAGCAAGCAGGUGGAGGUAGAGACCAAUGGUAUAGUUCAGUUGCAGGAUUCUUCUCAGUCAGAGCAAGUUCAGUCGCCAGACACCUCAGUAAUUGAAACCUCACAAGUUGAGAGGCAGAGCAUUGCUAUAGGCAGAGCGAGGAGACAGACCAAACCACCGCAAAGAUACGGUUAUGAAGAUAUGGUUGCUUACGCUCUUUCAGUGGCACAAGACACAGAAAAAGAAGGUGAUUCUUCCUAAUAUAUUCAAGCUAUUUCUGGUGUCAGUUCUGCAGAGUGGUUGGUGGCGAUGAACGAGGAGAUGGAGUCUCUUCAUAAGAAUCGUACAUGGGAGUUGGUAAAACCACCUACAGGCAAGAAAAUUGUUGGCUGCAAGUGGGUCUUCAAGAAAGGACGGAAUUCCCGAUGUGGAAGAUACAAGGUAAAAGUUCGUUUAGUUACUAAGGGCUAUAGUCAGUUAGAAGGUGCUGAUUUCAAUGAUAUUUUCUUACCCGUCGUGAAGUAUACUUCUAUUCGUGUUCUUUUAUCGUUAGUAGCCAUGAAUGACCUAUAUCUUGAGCAGCUUAAUAUUAAGACAGCUUUUUUGCAUGAAGAACUUGAGGAGCAAAUUUAUAUAAAAUAGUCGGAGGGAUUCAUUAUUGAAGAGAAGGAAGACUAUAUUUGCCUGUUAAAGAAAUCGCUUUAUGGCUUAAAGCAGUCUCCUCGAUAAUGGUACAAGCGGUUCGACUCCUUCAUGACAGGUCAUAGAUAUUACAGAAGCAAGCGUGACAGUUGCAUGUACUUCAGAAAGCUUGAUAAGGGAUCUUUUAUAUAUUUAUUGCUCUAUGUCGAUGAUAUGUUAAUUGCUUUUAGCGACAUAGUUGAGAUAAAUAAAUUGAAGGCUUUACUUAAGGGUGAGUUUGAGAUGAAAGAUUUAGGUGCUUCUAAGAAACUCUUUGGUAUGAAAAUUAAGAGAGGCAAUGAGUCAGGACUACUGUAUUUAACACAAGAGAAAUAUACAGAGAAGAUUUUAAAGCGUUUCGAGAUGACAAACGCGAAACUAGUGAGCACUCCUUUUGCGGCGCAUUUCAAACUUUCCGCCGAGUUAUCACCACAGUCCGAUGAUAAUACGGGAGUACAUAUCUUAUAUUCCCUAUUCUAGUGCUGUCGGGAGUAUUAUGUACGCCAUGAUUUGCACACGGCCGAACAUCUCCUACGUAGUGAGUAUGGUUAGCAAAUAUAUGACCAAUUCUGAUAAAGCUCAUUGGCAAACUAUUAAGUGGAUUUUGAGAUACUUAAGAGGAACUACUAGCACUUGUUUGGAGUUUGGGAGGUGUAAGGUUGGUGUGGUUCGAUAUAUUGAUUCGGAUUUUGCAGGUGAUUUGGACAGGAGGAGAUCACUUUCAGGUUAUAAAUUCUCUAUUGGUGGAUGUGCAGUUAGUUGGAAAGCUUCAUUACAACCUAAUGUCGCCUUGUCUACGACGGAGGCGGAAUAUAUUGCGAUGACAGAGGGUAUGAAGGAAGCUAUGUGGCUAAGAGGCUUAUUUGGAGAGCUUACUUUUUGUUGGAAUCCGACGAUUGUUUAUUCGGAUAGUUAAAGUGCUAUUCAUUUGUCUAAAAACCAGAUGUUUCAUGAGAGGACAAAGCACAUCGAUAUAAAGUUUCACUUUGUUCGGAAUGUGAUUGGGAAACGCACGGUGACUGUUAAGAAAAUUGGUACUAAGGACAAUCCGGCGAAUAUACUUGCUAAGUCUCUUACUAUUGCCAAGUUCAAGCAUUGUUUGGACUUAGUGGCAGUUGGUAGCACUUGAGGUCCUAUGGGGCGUUUGAAGAAGAUAGAGCACGGAGCGUUAAGAAGCAUUGAGGCGAAUUAAAUUCAAGGUGAAGUUUAGUGGGGACCUCGACAUAACAGCUGCUAAACUGAAAAUUAAACCAAGAUAAAGAUUGUUAUAUUUGGUUUAGAUUUGUAGUUAUCUAAAUUGGAGUUAAAUCAAAAUCUAAUUAGGAUUAAAUAUAAUUUAAUAUAAUUUGGCAUAUAUGGAUUAUGAGUCGGAAUCUAAUUCAAAUUGAAUUAGAUUAGACUUGUGUUUAGAAAUCCAAUUAGAUUAGAGUUCCAAUUAGACUCUAAUUUGAAGCCACAUCCUAUAUAUAUGCGGCUAAGUUAAUGAAGCCAGAGCCAUGACUCAAAUUAGGCCAUGCAAAUUAAUUAAGUUGUUGGUGGUCAGUUGCGGCGGCGCGUGGUGUGCGUUGCAGAGCCCCUGAUAGGGAUCUAAUUAUGAAGGCAAUGUUAUGCAUGUUAAGAAGACAUCUAAUUAAACUGCAUGUUGGAGAGAGUUGACCAAGCCUGUUGGCCGUACGGUGAUUCGGGGCCCUAGUGUUAAUUAAGCUGAGCCACUUUGGAGUUUCGCGUACGGAUACGAAUUUUGGCAUUUUUGACCUAAUUAAGUUUUGGCCUUUAAUUUGAGAGAUCUUCUUUGUAUUCCGCCUUUUCGAUAUUAAUAAAGUAUUUGCUCCGUCUUCACCCGUAAAUAUGCGUAGGCUAUUGGCCAAACGCGCCCUAACACUUAUUUGAACCAAGCUGAUUACAAUUUACUUUACUAUAUUUUGAUAUUAUUUUUGUUUUGUAUUUUCUAAAAAAGUUUAGAUAUCAUUAUAUUAUAUUUUUAUCAAUCUCUUUACUAUAUUUUAGACUUGUUUUUGUUUUUUUGACUUCGUACCAUAUUUUUUUCUACGAAUAUCACAGCAUUAGUUUUUUCCAGUCAAUCUUUACAUUAUUGGUAAUAAACCUAUUGUUUUAGGCAAAAUUUAAUAAUUUUAUAAAGAAACACUGAUUAAAUAAUAAAAAAAAUAUGAAAUGAAUCUUCAUAGUAGACUCACUGCAAGCUUUGAUCAAGCUAUUUUAACUUUUUCUUUCGUUAUUUUUGUGUAUUUUAUUAUUUUUCAUGUCAAAACUUGCUGACUAACCGCUAUGUUAUUUUUAAUCAGUAUUUUUUUUAAUAAUUUUCAUAUAAAAGUAUAGAUAGUUGAGUGGUGUAUUUGAAAAAAAAAAUAACGGUAAACCGUAGAAAGUGAAAUAAUCUGUAAAGUACAGUGUAGACGUGUAGUAUAAUACAAGCUUUCGAACUAAAUUCAAUUCUCAUACAAUAAAUAAUUGAUGUUCAAAAAAAGAAACAAAAAAGAACCCCAUAAACGGGUCAUUUUUACAAGAAUCAGCCAAAUCUAGUAAGGAUCCAAUCCCCACACUCAUCCAAAGGAAAUAUUACGUGAAAAAAAUUUUUUAGCCUUAAUAAAAGUUUAAGUUGUUAAAUAAUAGUUCUUUAAUAUUUUAUAUACAUAAAUGUCUCUUAUGUAUCCCUCAUCUGUUCCUCUUUUCCUUACUACCAUGAUUUUCUUUUUGUUUAAUUCCUAACUUUUACUUUUUUUGUAACUUUUACUUUUUUGUCGGCUUUCCGGAAACCUAAGCUGCCUCCAACUUGUAUGCUCAGUUUAUUUUACUUAAUAAAUGAAGCAGGUAGCUUGCUACAUAUUUCUCAAAAAAAAAAAAAAUGCUCUUUUCAGAGAUUAUAUCUAUAUCUUUUUCAUUUUAGUCAAUAUUAACUGUUUCUCAGCACUGUGAUGGCCACAUGACACCACAACAAGCUUCCUAGCUUAGCUUGCUAGAUGCUAUAUUAUUAUGAGAUUGAUAGACAAGAUAAUCACCAACAAAAUUUUGAUCUUUAGAUUCAAUGGAACCUGUCGGCACAGCCCCCCGAACACGAAGCAAUUAUAUAUAUUAUAUAUAUAUAUAUAUAUAUAAUAUAUAUAUAUAUACAUAUUAUCGAGUCGGCUGGGAUAUUAUGAUAGCAUUCAAUAUUUUCGCCACUUAGAUUUAACUCUUUAGCUAUUUUCACCCGUUAAGAUUAUACUAUUAAAUCAAUAAUUCACCGCAAUCUUAAAAGGCCUGUAUCUGCUUAACCGUACAUUCCUUCAUCCAAAGGUUGAAAAUCUAUGUAUCAAUAACUUGGUACUAUUUUAUAUUUAACUAUAUAUAUAUAUAUAUAUUAUAUAUAUAUAUAUUAGUAUAUAUAUAUAUAUAUAUAGUUUACUACCGAUAGUAUUCUAGCAAAACUCAUAUAUAGUUUGACUGGGCUACUAUCGGUAGUAAACUGCUCGGUUUACUACCGAUUUGUUCUUAAUGAUAGAGCUUCCAAAUCUACGAUCGACACAGUUGAAUAUGAUCUAGACCGUUUAAAUUAUUUAGAAAUCAAAUUUCAUGAUUUUUUGGCAUCACUAACUGAACGAUCAAAGGGUCACAAAAUCUAUAAUUUUAAUGGCCGAUAUGGUGNUGCGUUUGCUCGUUUAACGGUAUAGAAGAGUUCAAAUCAACUAAAUUUUUGUUAGAAAAUUCUUUAAAUUAUUUAAAAUAAGAUCUAGACUCUAGAUCUCAAAUAUAAAAAUUGUAUCAUCACUUUUUGAAGGAUAUUAAUUUCCAGCCAUUCAUUUUUCUGUUAACUUGAUAAACAAGAGAACAUUAAUAUCGAAAGAGUGUGAAAUUUGAUUUUCAGAUAAUUUAAAUAGUUUAGAUCAUGUUUAACGGUGCCGAUCAUCAAUUUGGAAACUCUAUCAUCAAAAAUAAAUCGGUAGUAACCGAGCCGUUUACUACUGAUAGUAUUUUAGCAAAACUCUCUCUCUCUCUCUCUCUCUCUCUAUAUAUAUAUAUAUAGAGUCCGGCUACUAUGCUAUUAAUAGCACGAAGCACUUGAUGCUACCAAGUUUUCCGCCGUUAGAUCUACCCUUUUGAUCAUUUUCAUCCGUUAGAUCAUACUAUUCAACCAAUCACCCACUCAACCCUAGGGGGCCCACAUCAUCCUAACCGCACAUCUCUUAAUCCAAUGGCCAAACACUUGGUAGCACCAAUGACUUGGUGCUAUUAAUAAUAUAUUAGCAUAGUUCUAUAUAUAUAUAUAUAUAUAGCUGGACUGAGCUAUUAUUAGUAGCAAAAUUUUAUUGUUGCUACCAGUUUUUUAGCCUUUGGAUCAACUCUUUUCAUUAUUUCUAACCAUUGGAUUAAAUACUAUAACCCAGUGGGGACCACUCAACCCUAGGGGGACCACUCAAUUCUAAACGACUAAUAUCAUCCUGACCCUACAAUUUUUCAUCCAAUGGUUAGAAAAAUUUGAUGGCAAAAAACGUUUUACUUUAAUGUAUUUUCCAGCUAAUUGCUUAUAUAUUAUCUAUAUGAGUGAGGCUACUAUGCUAUCGGAAGCACGGAGCCUUCCGUGCUUCCAGCUUGUUUUCGAUGUUGCGACUUUCAAAUCGUCGAUCGGCUCCAUUAAACUUGAUCUAGAGUAUUUAUAGUACCUAGAAAAUAAAUUUUAUAAUUUUACGAUAUCAUUUGCCUAGUGAAUGAAGGGGCUCAAAAUCAAUGGCUGAAAAUAAAAAUCUUACAAAAUGUAAUAAUAUGACAUUAAAAUUUUAAAUCAAAGAUAUUGAUCUUGUUUUAUAUAGUAUAAAGAAUUUUCUAUCAAAAUUUCACGUGAUUUGGAUAUUUCUAUACCGUUAAACUUGCAAACGGCUCACUACGGCCAUUGAAAUUUGUUGAUUUUGAGCCCAUUCGAUCACUAGGCAAAUGAUAUCGAAAAAUUAUAAAAUUUAUUUUCUAGGUACUCCAAAUACUUUAGAUUAAGUUUAACGGAGCUGAUCGACGAUUCGAAAGUCGCAACAUCGAAAACGAGCUAGAAGGACGGAAGGCUCCGUGCUUCCAAUAGUAUAGUAGCCUCACUCUAUAUAUAUAUAUAUAUAUAUAUAUAGAACUAUGCUACUAUACUAUCUAUAGUACCGGAACUCCGGUACUAUAGUUUUAUUUUUAAUUUUAGGGUGUUCAAAUUAACGAUCCACACCGUUAAAUAUAAUCUAGGAUAUAUGAACUUAAUAUGUGA
rnacentral:lncRNA from 1 species